rnacentral:rRNA from 1 species
UGAUUAAGCCAUGCAAGUCGAGAGUCGUAAUGGACUCGGCGGACUGCUCAGUAACACGUGGAUAACAUGCCCUUAAGUGGAGGAUAAUCUCGGGAAAUUGAGGAUAAUACUCCAUAGAUCAUGAAAUCUGGAAUGAUUCAUGGUUCAAAGUUCCGGCGCUUAAGGAUUGGUCUGCGGCCUAUCAGAUAGUAGUGGGUGUAACGUACCUACUAGCCUAUGACGGGUAUGGGCCUUGAGAGAGGGAGCCCAGAGUUGGAUUCUGAGACACGAAUCCAGGCCCUACGGGGCGCAGCAGUCGCGAAAACUUCACACUGGGGGCAACCCCGAUGAGGGAAUUCCUAGUGCUAGCGCUUUUUGUGCUAGCUUUUCUUCAGUAUAGAUAGCUGGAGGAAUAAGGGCUGGGUAAGACGGGUGCCAGCCGCCGCGGUAAUACCUGCAGCCCAAGUGGUGGUCGAUUUUAUUGAGUCUAAAACGUUCGUAGCCGGUUUGAUAAAUCCUUGGGUAAAUCGGAGAGCUUAACUUUCCGACUUCCGAGGAGACUGUCAAACUUGGGACCGGGAGAGGCAAGAGGUACUUGAGGGGUAGGGGUAAAAUCCUGUAAUCCUUUAAGGACCACCGGUGGCGAAGGCGUCUUGCUAGAACGGAUCCGACGGUGAGGGACGAAGCCCUGGGUCGCAAACGGGAUUAGAUACCCCGGUAGUCCAGGGUGUAAACGCUGCAGACUUGGUGUUGGAGAUCCUUCGUGGGUAUUCAGUGCCGGAGAGAAGUUGUUAAGUCUGCUACUUGGGGAGUACGUCCGCAAGGAUGAAACUUAAAGGAAUUGGCGGGGGAGCA